rnacentral:rRNA from 1 species
GAUGAACGCUGGCGGCGUGCCUAAUACAUGCAAGUCGAGCGAACAGACGAGGAGCUUGCUCCUCUGACGUUAGCGGCGGACGGGUGAGUAACACGUGGAUAACCUACCUAUAAGACUGGGAUAACUUCGGGAAACCGGAGCUAAUACCGGAUAAUAUAUUGAACCGCAUGGUUCAAUAGUGAAAGACGGUUUUGCUGUCACUUAUAGAUGGAUCCGCGCCGCAUUAGCUGGUUGGUAAGGUAACGGCUUACCAAGGCAACGAUGCGUAGCCGACCUGAGAGGGUGGUCGGCCACCCUGGAAGUGAGACACGGUCCAGACUCCUACGGGAGGCAGCAGUAGGGAAUCUUCCGCAAUGGGCGAAAGCCUGACAGAGCAACGGCGCGUGAGUGAUGAAGGUCUUCGGAUCGUAAAACUCUGUUAUUAGGGAAGAACAAAUGUGUAAGUAACUAUGCACGUCUUGACGGUACCUAAUCAGAAAGCCACGGCUAACUACGUG